UACGUAGGGGGCAAGCGUUGUCCGGAUUUAUUGGGCGUAAAGAGCGUGUAGGCGGCCUGACAGGUCUGCUGUGAAAACUCGAGGCUCAACCUCGAGAUGUCGGCGGAAACCGUCUGGCUAGAGUCCGGAAGAGGAGAGUGGAAUUCCUGGUGUAGCGGUGAAAUGCGCAGAUAUCGGGAGGAACACCCGUAGCGAAGGCGGCACUCUGGGCCGGAACUGACGCUGAGGCACGAAAGCGUGGGGAGCAAACAGG
rnacentral:rRNA from 1 species